UACGAGGGGGGCAAGUGUUGUUCGGAAUCACUGGGCGUAAAGGGAGCGUAGGCGGGCUUUUAAGUUAGGUGUUUAAUCCCGGGGCCCAACCCCGGACCGGCACCUAAAACUGGGAGUCUUGAAUAGUGGAGAGGUCAGUGGAAUUGGGGGUGUAGCGGUGGAAUGCGUAGAUAUCGGGAGGAACACCAGUGGCGAAGGCGCCUUCCUGGCCUGUAACUGACGCUGAUACGCGAAAGCGUAGGGAGCAAACCGG
rnacentral:rRNA from 1 species